rnacentral:rRNA from 1 species
ACGGGAGGCAGCAGUGAGGAAUAUUGGUCAAUGGACGCAAGUCUGAACCAGCCAUGCCGCGUGAAGGAUUAAGGCCCUAUGGGUCGUAAACUUCUUUUGUACGGGAGCAAUAAGGUUCACGUGUGGACCGAUGAGAGUACCGUACGAAUAAGCAUCGGCUAACUCCGUGCCAGCAGCCGCGGUAAUACGGAGGAUGCGAGCGUUAUCCGGAUUUAUUGGGUUUAAAGGGUGCGUAGGCGGCUUGGUAAGUCAGCGGUGAAAUGUCGGGGCUCAACCUCGGAACUGCCGUUGAUACUGUCAGGCUUGAAUGCGGAUGCCGUGGGAGGAAUGUGUGGUGUAGCGGUGAAAUGCAUAGAUAUCACACAGAACACCGAUUGCGAAGGCAUCUCACGAAUCCGCGAUUGACGCUGAGGCACGAAAGUGCGGGGAUCAAACAGGAUUAGAUACCCUGGUA